UGGGCGAAAGCCUGACCGAGCGACGCCGCGUGCGGGAUGAAGGCCUUCGGGUUGUAAACCGCUGUCGUUGGGGAGGAAGUGCAGGGGGGUUCUCCCCUCUGUUUGACCUAUCCAAGGAGGAAGUACGGGCUAAGUUCGUGCCAGCAGCCGCGGUAAGACGAACCGUACGAACGUUAUUCGGAAUUACUGGGCUUAAAGGGUGCGUAGGCGGCGCGGUAAGUUGGGUGUGAAAGCCCUCAGCUCAACUGAGGAACUGCACUCAAAACUACCGUGCUCGAGGGAGACAGAGGUAAGCGGAACUCAAGGUGGAGCGGUGAAAUGCGUUGAUAUCUUGAGGAACACCGGUGGCGAAGGCGGCUUACUGAGUCUUUUCUGACGCUGAGGCACGAAAGCUAAGGUAGCAAACGGGAUUAGAUACCCCGGUAGUCUUAGCUGUAAACGAUGAGCACUUGUUUGAAGGGUCCUCCAUAGCCUUUCAGACGUAGCGAAAGUGUUAAGUGCUCCGCCUGGGGA
rnacentral:rRNA from 1 species